UUAGUAAUUUCAAUUCUAGUACAAUAUGCAUGGAUAGUUAUUGUUACUUUCACUUUUAUGCCGGUGUGCGUAAAAUUAAAAAGUUGUAACACGGACAUAAGACACAAUUGAAUUCUGGGCGAAUGACAGUUGACAACAGCGGACAUGGUGUUUCAUAUUUUCGUUAGUUACAGGCACAACGAAGAAAAUAUCAAUUAAAAACGCAAAUUAACAAGGACAAAACGUACGUAACUCUAAAUUAAGUGACAAAAUUAAAAAUUGUUCUGGUGCCACCAUCGAUACCUGAUAUGCAACAAAGGAAUACGAAACAGAAGUCAAUAAGGGGAAAAACCCAGCAAGGUAUGACUCUUCUUCAAGCUAUGACAUUCCUGUAACCUGCAUACAAUUGAAGAGCAUCGAUAAUAAAAUUAACAAAGGUGGUUGCCGUCGAAACCUUCGCAGAACAUCACCAUUGGAACCAAAUCGGCCUAUUAUUGUUUGAAGAAGAACAUUCACGAAAUAAUUGACUACAUUGUAUGCAUUUGAAAUUAUGGAAAUUUCUAAUAUAA